rnacentral:rRNA from 1 species
UAGGGAAUCUUCCGCAAUGGGCGAAAGCCUGACGGAGCAACGCCGCGUGAGUGAUGAAGGUCUUCGGAUCGUAAAACUCUGUUAUUAGGGAAGAACAAAUGUGUAAGUAACUAUGCACGUCUUGACGGUACCUAAUCAGAAAGCCACGACUAACUACGUGCCAGCAGCCGCGGUAAUACGUAGGUGGCAAGCGUUAUCCGGAAUUAUUGGGCGUAAAGCGCGCGUAGGCGGUUUUUUAAGUCUGAUGUGAAAGCCCACGGCUCAACCGUGGAGGGUCAUUGGAAACUGGAAAACUUGAGUGCAGAAGAGGAAAGUGGAAUUCCAUGUGUAGCGGUGAAAUGCGCAGAGAUAUGGAGGAACACCAGUGGCGAAGGCGACUUUCUGGUCUGUAACUGACGCUGAUGUGCGAAAGCGUGGGGAUCAAACAGG